UACGGGGGGGGCAAGCGUUGUUCGGAAUUACUGGGCGUAAAGGGCUCGUAGGUGGCCAACUAAGUCAGACGUGAAAUCCCUCAGCUUAACUGGGGAACUGCGUCUGAUACUGGAUGGCUUGAGUUUGGGAGAGGGAUGCGGAAUUCCAGGUGUAGCGGUGAAAUGCGUAGAUAUCUGGAGGAACACCGGUGGCGAAGGCGGCAUCCUGGACCAACACUGACACUGAUGAGCGAAAGCAUGGGGAGCGAACAGG
rnacentral:rRNA from 1 species